GGUGUCGCCGACUCUUGUCUCCACCCCGGACCUCCGAGGCCGGUGCGGACGUCAACCCUCCGGGCCCUGCACCCACCCCCACCCCCACCCCAGGGAACGGCAAGGGUCCGAGUGUGGUUCGGUUGUCAUGCGCUUGCCUAUGUCACUUGUGUUGACGGUCACCUCUGAUCCCAAGCAGGCCAAGUGUCCCAGCCCAUCCUUCUACUCCUCCGGACUCCUUUUUAAGCGCACCUGCCCAGACCUCCUCCGGAGGGACGAAAGGCCGGGGAAGGAAAAACCUACCCACCGAGAUGCCCGUGGACUACCGGCAACCGGCUGACUUCAGCGAUGCACCUCUCUCUCCCAGGCUCCAUUUUAGCCUGGAAGUUUUCCGUGUCGGGGGUGCCUUCUUGUCUGUUUUAACUCCGACCAGUGAUAAAGUCACAGCAGGACAGACUGAAGCCAGGUUGAGAAUCCAGUAUCUAGCAAGAGUGUGCUGACUCGCCUUUAACCCCAAGAUCGGAAAGACUGUAAUAUAAAGUUGAAGCUAACCUAGGCUAUGUGUAGGUUCAAAAGGAGAUUUGCCAGCAAGACUCAGAGGAAGCUGUAUCUGUGGUGUGGAGGAGAGUCACAAACACUCCAGCCUCCAACCACUGUGUCUAAAUCUGUCCGUAAAGCAGCCAUCUCCUGGUGACAUUCAGUCCUAGAGAAAGACAUCCUCCAGUGGUAACAUUGUCUCCACCAGGAUAAGACACAGAAUUGCAUCUACAGGAGUUUAUAAAAGAAAGUGGAGGAGUGAAGAUUUACUAGUGAAAACAACCUGCUCAGCUGAGAUCCAUCCAGGAGAGGAUUCAGAAUCCUACAGUCUGCAGUCUGAGGAAACAAGAUCAGCUGAGGAGUUGACAAAUGAGCAAAACAUGACCUGAGAACACAAAAGAAGGCACCGCCCAGCCACUGGACCAGAUCACCAGAAUCAUAAGCCUACACUACACCGACUGGGAACAGGUAAGCCCCCAUCUCCAAAUCGGCAGAUCAGGUCUCUAGCCCCUAGGCCCUACCCAUCAGAGUCCCAGGGAACAGACAGCUACCUUUUCCUGUUCCCCCACCGAAAAAAAAAACAAAAACAAAACCCAACCCUUAUGAACCUAACAACCACUACUGAAACCAUAAGCAGGCCCUGCACCAACUGGGAACAACUGCUUCCU